AGUAGGUCAUAUAACUGACGGAAGUGGAUUAACCACGUGGAGUAUGACCGGUGUUGCCGACCGUCUGGGCGUUUUAC
rnacentral:ncRNA from 2 species